GCGCCCCGCGACGCGGCUCAACGGGACCGCGCCGCAGGAUCGAGAAGUGCGGCACUUCGAGGCCGCUAAGAUUCUCAAAGUAUUCUCUUCCAAAAUGCACUUGGAUCAUCACAGUUCCUUGGGCACGCUGAAUGGAAUCCCCUUCAGUGCAUCUAACAUGACAACCAAUUGUUAGAGUGUGCAACCGCCAGAGAAGAAUCUUCAGAUAUUUCAUUUCUGGAGCUGGGAAGAUGGCUUAGUGCAUAAGAUCAUUUGCUCUGCAGGCAUAAGUUUGAAUCCCCAGCACCCUCAUAAACCCAGGCAUGGCUUCAAGUAUCAAACACCAGCACUAGGGAGGGAAGACAGGUUGAUCCCAGGCAAAAGAUGAACUUCUGAUUCAGUGAAAGACCCUGUCUCAAGGCAACAAGGCAGAGAGCAAUAGAGGAAGACACCUGAUGUCAUACUCUGGCCAUUCUUCAUGGACCAUCUUUCCAGACCCUUCUCUGUAUAGUAAGUAAAGAAGAGCUUGCCUUGCUA
rnacentral:lncRNA from 1 species